UAUGCUAAGCAGCCAGACACAGCUACUUUGUGAGGUUUCCAGGUUUGGAACCAACUGUGCCUGUUCAAAGAUUUAAACCAGCGCUCAACGGCCACAUCUGGCAGGCCACAGUGUAGCUGCCAACAUUAGCGGAUACAGUUAGAAAUGUUGUUCAUCGAGAAAGAAUGGCACCACUCCCCCUAAAUCUACCGCCAACAAAAAGAGAUACGUGGUGUUCAUUUCGAUGGGCUGACCGUCAUUUUUUGAACACAGGCGACCAGUCUUGGUUUGGGUGGAUCACGAGUCCCAACACCUCCUCACCUCCGUAUCUCUGGAUAAUAAGAGCUAUUGUGCAUGUGAGCCGAAUAGUAAUGUCACUCCAAGGACCUGAUGGCUUUGAAGUGUGCAGAGGAUCGGGGGGAAAAGUGCAAAAAAGGCUCCACGAAGACUGAAACCGACGGCGUGAUUCCAUUUAAAUACAUUAACUAUCUUUUAACGAUAUGUGUCAUAUUAAAGCUCUACACUGACGUUCUGGCUUGCUGGCAACUGGAUCAAACCUAAAUUUAUCUUCAUUUUAAAUGCAAAAUUGCGACAUCAUUUUUUAUGUUUUCCCUGUUAUUCUAUAGGUUUAUAGAUUAUUCAGAUUUCCAUGGUGACCUCCAGCUACACUCGAGUCAUCUGCCUGACUUGAGCUGA